rnacentral:rRNA from 1 species
ACGGGUGAGUAACACGUGGGUAACCUGCCCAAGAGACUGGGAUAACACCUGGAAACAGAUGCCAAUACCGGAUAACAACACUAGACGCAUGUCUAGAGUUUAAAAGAUGGUUCUGCUAUCACUCUUGGAUGGACCUGCGGUGCAUUAGCUAGUUGGUAAGGUAACGGCUUACCAAGGCAAUGAUGCAUAGCCGAGUUGAGAGACUGAUCGGCCACAUUGGGACUGAGACACGGCCCAAACUCCUACGGGAGGCAGCAGUAGGGAAUCUUCCACAAUGGACGCAAGUCUGAUGGAGCAACGCCGCGUGAGUGAAGAAGGGUUUCGGCUCGUAAAGCUCUGUUGGUAGUGAAGAAAGAUAGAGGUAGUAACUGGCCUUUAUUUGACGGUAAUUACCUAGAAAGUCACGGCUAACUACGUGCCAGCAGCCGCGGUAAUACGUAGGUGGCAAGCGUUGUCCGGAUUUAUUGGGCGUAAAGCGAGUGCAGGCGGUUCAAUAAGCCUGAUGUGAAAGCCUUCGGCUCAACCGGAGAAUUGCAUCAGAAACUGUUGAACUUGAGUGCAGAAGAGGAGAGUGGAACUCCAUGUGUAGCGGUGGAAUGCGUAGAUAUAUGGAAGAACACCAGUGGCGAAGGCGGCUCUCUGGUCUGCAACUGACGCUGAGGCUCGAAAGCAUGGGUAGCGAACAGGAUUAGAUACCCUGGUAGUCCAUGCCGUAAACGAUGAGUGCUAAGUGUUGGGAGGUUUCCGCCUCUCAGUGCUGCAGCUAACG